rnacentral:rRNA from 1 species
GACGAACGCUGGCGGCGUGCCUAAUACAUGCAAGUCGAACGCUUUGAUUUUCACCGGAGCUUGCUCCACCGAAAAUCAAAGAGUGGCGGACGGGUGAGUAACACGUGGGCAACCUGCCCAACAGAGGGGGAUAACACUUGGAAACAGGUGCUAAUACCGCAUAAUUUGUUUUCCCGCAUGGGAGAAUAAUAAAAGACGCUUCGGUGUCACUGUUGGAUGGGCCCGCGCUGCAUUAGUUAGUUGGUGGGGUAAUGGCCUACCAAGACCGUGAUGCAUAGCCGACCUGAGAGGGUGAUCGGCCACACUGGGACUGAGACACGGCCCAGACUCCUACGGGAGGCGGCAGUAGGGAAUCUUCGGCAAUGGACGAAAGUCUGACCGAGCAACGCCGCGUGAGUGAAGAAGGUUUUCGGAUCGUAAAACUCUGUUGUUAGAGAAGAACAAGUGGGAGAGUAACUGUUCCCACCUUGACGGUAUCUAACCAGAAAGCCACGGCUAACUACGUGCCAGCAGCCGCGGUAAUACGUAGGUGGCAAGCGUUGUCCGGAUUUAUUGGGCGUAAAGCGAGCGCAGGCGGUUUCUUAAGUCUGAUGUGAAAGCCCUCGGCUCAACCGAGGAAGGUCAUUGGAAACUGGGGAACUUGAAUGCAGAAGAGGAGAGUGGAAUUCCAUGUGUAGCGGUGAAAUGCGUAGAUAUAUGGAGGAACACCAGUGGCGAAGGCGACUCUCUGGUCUGUAAUUGACGCUGAGGCUCGAAAGCGUGGGGAGCAAACAGG